UAGGGAAUAUUGGGCAAUGGAGGGAACUCUGACCCAGCCAUGCCGCGUGAAGGAUGAAGUCUCUCGGGAUGUAAACUUCGUAAGAAUAGGAAGAAUAAAUGACGGUACUAUUUGUAAGGUCCGGCUAACUACGUGCCAGCAGCCGCGGUAAUACGUAGGGACCAAGCGUUGUUCGGAUUUACUGGGCGUAAAGGGCGCGUAGGCGGCGUGGUAAGUCACUUGUGAAAUCUCCGAGCUUAACUCGGAACGGUCAAGUGAUACUGCUGUGCUAGAGUACAGAAGGGGCAAUCGGAAUUCUUGGUGUAGCGGUGAAAUGCGUAGAUAUCAAGAGGAACACCUGAGGUGAAGACGGGUUGCUGGGCUGACACUGACGCUGAGGCGCGAAAGCCAGGGGAGCAAACGGGAUUAGAUACCCACGUAGUCCCUGAGCGGGCUGGCAAGGCGCAU
rnacentral:rRNA from 1 species